UACCUGCAGCUCAAGUGGUGACCGCUAUUAUUGGGCCUAAAACGUCCGUAGCCGGCUGAGUAAAUGCCUGGGUAAAUCGUGUGGCUUAACCAUACGAAUUCCGGGUAGACUGCUUAGCUUGGGACCGGAAGAAGUUAGAGGUACUCCUGGGGUAGGGGUGAAAUCCUGUAAUCCUGGGGGGGACCACCAGUGGCGAAGGCGUCUAACUAGGACGGGUCUGACGGUGAGGGACGAAGCCCUGGGGCGCAAACCGGAUUAGAUACCCGGGUAGUCCAGGGUGCAAACGCUGCUUGCUUGAUGUUAGCUGGGCUCCGAGCUCGGCUAGUGUCGGAGAGAAGUUGUUAAGCAAGCUGCCUGGGAAGUACGGUCGCAAGACUGAAACUUAAAGGAAUUGGGCGGGGGAGCACAGCAACGGGUGGAGCGUGCGGUUU
rnacentral:rRNA from 1 species